rnacentral:rRNA from 1 species
GCAAGUCGAGCGCUACCUUCGGGUGGAGCGGCGGACGGGUUAGUAACGCGUGGGAAUAUGCCCUUCUCUAAGGAAUAGCCACUGGAAACGGUGAGUAAUACCUUAUACGCCCUUCGGGGGAAAGAUUUAUCGGAGAAGGAUCGGCCCGCGUUAGAUUAGAUAGUUGGUGGGGUAACGGCCUACCAAGUCUACGAUCUAUAGCUGGUUUGAGAGGAUGAUC